CCAACAGGGAGGUGUAACAGCACCCGGAGCACUGACUAUAAAGUCACAGAGUUAGAAAUCCUAAGUGGAGAAUUCGGACCCAAACUGGUGCUGAACAGUGAGACCCAUGACCCCCCCGUGGCCACAGUUGCCUCCUCCAUCCUCUGCUUCCUCAGGAUUGAAUGAGUGACUCUUAUUCUAUUACAUGAUUUCCAAGUACACUUAGGUUUAUACCCAGGCAGUGCAGGGCCCAUCCUCCUGCUCUCAGCAACAGGACAGCCAUUUCGUGGGUGGAAACUGCUGCUGCUCUUCCCUUGCAAGGGUGUUCUGUGUACACAUGGAGUAGCCUGUGUUCCCAAGAAACGAGCCCACGAGAAUCCAGCUGCUGGAGUGGCACGUUGGGUUAUCAACUACAAGAAUUACAAAUUGAG